UGGGGAAUUUUGGACAAUGGGCGCAAGCCUGAUCCAGCCAUGCCGCGUGGGUGAAGAAGGCCUUCGGGUUGUAAAGCCCUUUUGUUGGGAAAGAAAUCCUGUCGGCUAAUACCCGGCGGGGAUGACGGUACCCAAAGAAUAAGCACCGGCUAACUUCGUGCCAGCAGCCGCGGUAAUACGAAGGGUGCAAGCGUUACUCGGAAUUACUGGGCGUAAAGCGUGCGUAGGCGGUUCGUUAAGUCUGUCGUGAAAGCCCUGGGCUCAACCUGGGAAUUGCGAUGGAUACUGGCGAGCUAGAGUACGGUAGAGGAUGGUGGAAUUCCCGGUGUAGCGGUGAAAUGCGUAGAGAUCGGGAGGAACACCCGUGGCGAAGGCGGCCAUCUGGACCAGUACUGACGCUGAGGCACGAAAGCGUGGGGAGCAAACA
rnacentral:rRNA from 1 species